rnacentral:lncRNA from 1 species
CUGUCCUGUACACGUCGUGGCAGAAACUGGGAUAGCUGCCCGGCUCCUCUCAGGAGGCUGGGAUGCCCAAGAGACCAGAACCAGGGCCGCAUGUGCAGGGCUAGGGGUCAAAUUCAAGCCACAGCUACUGGCCUACAGCGACGCCGGAUCUGAGUCUGUAACCUACACCACAGCUUAUGGCAAAGCCAGAUCCUUAACCCACUGAUUGAGGUCAGGGAUUGAACCUGAGUCCUCAUGCAUCCUAGUCAGGUUCGUUAACUACUGAGCUACAGAGGGAACUCCCGAGCCCAAUGAUUUAUAUUUGGGACAUGUUUCACUCGAUCUCGAAUACCCUUCCCCACCCUCAACCUCCUCCUGGCCUGCCCGGGCUUUCCUCUCCCCUGCAGCCCUGAUGGAGAGGCCACCAUGUGCUCCUCCAAGCCCUGGCGCCUGCCCUCCAGGACGCCGCCUUUCCCUCUCAUUGGGCCCUGGGGAGGCUCUGAUGCUCCUGAGAGUGACGCUGGUUUGGCAGCAGGAGCCGUGGGAGCUAGACAUGGGCAGGUUGGAUGUGGUUCUUGCGCCAGAGCCUCGUCCUCCUGUUGGGGACCCGGCCUUCUUGCCCUCCUCCCUGCUCAACAAACAGAGCAAUCAGUCUGUGUCAGCCCGGAUCUGGGGACCAAAAAUAAACAAACCCACACAAGGUCCUGCCCUGGUGAGGCUGACAUUCUCAUCGGGUGACACAGUUCAUGACCAAGUGAACAAACCCACAUACUCAUGGGUAUUUGCAAAUCACAUGGAGUUUAAGAAAGAACAGGGUGUAGUGACAGAAGAGCAGGGGGUGGGAGACUGACCUUGGAGGGGGAGGGGCCGGGUUGCUUUAUAUGAAUCAACAGGGAACAAUCACCAUGACAUAUUGUUAGGUAGAGUAGAGCAAGAAGGGCGUGUGCCUUAUGAGGAGGUGACAUCUGCAUGGAGAUGGAGGCAUCUGUGGAGGCCAAGGCCUUGUAGGCAGAAUGGGCAGCAUGUGCAAAGGUCCUGAGGUGGGAAGGAAAUUGGAGGGUCAAGGACCAGCAAAAAUAUGGGACUCAUGGUGAGCGAGGAGGGUGUGGGCCACCUCCAACAGCAUGGUGGGGAGGUGGUAGCCCCAUUUCAUGGCUGGGAAACUGAGGCCUGGGGAGAAGAAUCCUUUGCCCAAGGACCGUUGCACUCAGGCAGCCUUCGGCCUUACCACUAGGACAGUAGUUCUCAGUGUGGGGUCCCAGACCAGCAGUAUCAGCAUCAUCUGUCAGGCACACCCCAAAACUACCCAACCAGGAACUGGGGGUGGGCGCGGGGGUGUGGAGCCCAGCAACCUGCCUUUAACCAGCCUUCCAGAGGAUUCCAACGAGCCAGGAAAAAUUUUUGAGAACCACUGAGCUGGGCUCUCCUGCCUCCCCAAGUUUUUCUCAUGCCCUACGAAGGAUCCCUGCUCACUCUGGGCUGAGUGGUGAUGCCCCCAAAAUGUAUGCGCACACCUGCCCAAAUCCCUGAAACCUAUGAGUGUCAUCUUGUUUGGAAAAAGGGUGUUUGUAGCUAUAGUUAGGUUGGGGAAUCUUUUAUUUUUUUCAGCUGCACCUGAAGCAUAUGGAAGUUCCCCAGCCAGGGAUUGAAUCCAAGCUACAUCUGCAGCCUAUGUCACACAUGCAGCAAUGUCAGAUCCUUAACCCACUGUGCUGGGCCAGGGAUCAAACCGGCAAUGCCACAGAGGCAAGUCAGAUCCUUGCCUAGGCUGGGAAUCUUGAGAUAAGAAGACAAUCCUGGAGUUCCUGUCGUGGCUCAGCGGUUAACGAAUCCGACUAGGAACCAUGAGGUUGCGGGUUCGACCCCUGCCCUUGCUCAGUGGGUUAAGGAUCUGGCGUUGCUGUGGCUGUGGUGUAGGCCGGCAGCUACAGCUCCAAUUCGACCCCUAGCCUGGGAACCUCCAUAUGCCGUGGCAGCGGCCCAAGAAAUGGCAAAAAGACAAAACAAAAAAACAAAAACAAAAACCCAAUUCAACAAGUAACGAAUUGACAAGCAGCACUAACCUCUUUGACGGUGAAG